UACAGAGGGUGCAAGCGUUGUUCGGAAUUAUUGGGCGUAAAGGGCGCGUAGGCGGUGCGGUAAGUCUGUAGUGAAAUCUCUGGGCUCAACUCAGAGCCUGCAGGCGAAACUGCCGUGCUGGAGUGUGGGAGAGGUGCGUGGAAUUCCCGGUGUAGCGGUGAAAUGCGUUGAUAUCGGAAGGAACUCCGGCGGCGAAAGCGAUGCACUGGCUGGUUUCUGACGCUGAGGUGCGAAAGCCAGGGGAGCAAACGGG
rnacentral:rRNA from 1 species